CAGUCAGGACUUCAAAAAAAAAAAAAAGUGUUUUAAAUAGACUGAAGAAGAAGAGAGUGCGGGGGACCCCACAAUUAGUAACGUGAGACUUUCUGCGUGUGGGUCCCGGCCCAAUUCUCUGGAAUCAAUCAAAGCUCCCGGAGGAACUCCCCGCACCCCUUAAUCUCCAGGUUUUAUUACUUUCCAGACAGUCAGCCUGUUUCAACCCUACCCCCUCAUCUUUCUUUUGUACCAAACUGCGCUAAAGCCAAGGAGGAGCCGUUUCUUUUUCCUCCAAUCUAUCUCUCUCUCUCUUGCCAUCUCUUCCACUACCGGGGAGCGCUUUUCAUUCAGGAGAGGGUCUUUCAUCAGCCUGCACAUGCAAGACAGUCCAACAGCUAGCAGAGGCCCAUCACUUUCACUGCUUUCAUCCUUUUAACUACAAAAAAAACGAGAAAAAAAAGAAACGAUGAGUUCUUCUCACUACGACACAUUAACUAUUUUGCAUAUCACAGGAAUUAAGAGAGAGAAUCUGGGCCACGUUGCACAACAGUCGGAGAUGUUCGAAAUUUUCAGAACACAUGCUGCUGAUCUUGAUCAAACCUUCCAGCUUGGAAGAAUGAUAUGACCAGAGGUCAAAAUCUGACAAUUUUCCCUUAAUUUACUCUCACCGGGUGAUCGGCGGACCUAUUGGUAGUGGGAAGGAAAUGCCCACUACCAGAUUUGCUACGGUAUCUGAGCGAGCGUCUCGUUCAUCUAGACGCUAGGAGAAGCUUCCAGGUCGUUGUUUCUAAUGCCUUCGUAAGGACGACAUGAGAGGACGUCACUUUAAAAUAUUUGGUAAAACCCAAAGAGUUUUGUGGUGUUUAUCCAUCUUCUAAGCAUAUAUUGAUGCUGGGGUAAUGAGAUCUCUGCUGGUCUGAUGAGGCAAAAUGAUUAUCUGACAUGUAUCACUAAUGAUUCUUUUGAGCACAGACACACCAAUCAAUCUGGAAGAGAUAGGAAUCGGCUAAUUUCCCUGUGAUUGUUGUUCAAAAACCAGCAAUUUCUUAGUGGUAUUAUCCUCAUUUAUCCCAAGCCCAAACUUCUAUCAAUGUGAUUUUAAAUAAAUAAAUAAAUAAAAAACAGGGAAAAUGUAUGCAGUUAUAAUGAGAAAACAGACAAUAAAUGGUGACAGUUUUUAAGGGGGUGAAGGAGACGAGUAAAGACAAAUGUACAACCGAAACGUGUCCAAUUUGACUGCACUGGGGUUCCUCAAGGCUGUGUGUUUAGUGAACUGCUGUUCUCACUGCUAACAUACUAGCCCAUGCCUGAAAGUCCACAAAGAAGACGAGCAAAAACCUUAUCGUGAUUACCAAAAUUAUAGAAAAUAAGAAGUCGGAUCAGUGUAUCGCCACUUGAGCUUAAUAUAUAUAUAUACAUACGUGCAUCAAAAGCAGAGAUCUCUCAUUUUCCACUAUCUUUUGCAUCCACGUCUAAAUUUCAAUCGAACACAAAGAAAAACGAAAAUAGUAACUGACCAAAAAAUAAACAAAACAAAGAUCAGAUCAGUGCAUCGAUAUAAAGCACCUUCUGCGACCACUCGGCCACACACACCCACACACACACACACAUGCAUCCCCCGACUCAUUCAGUCCACAAAGCAAAUGUUUGUGGAUGUGUUCUGGAUCGUCCAGAUCCAGAGACGGCUCCAUCGCCAGUCUGGUCCUUGCAGGAGGCAGACAGGGGGAGACAAAAGGAGGGGGCGCGUGGAGGCACGUCGGCUGGUCUGGGGAUCAAACGGCGCGCGCGCUCAUGGAAAAAAAAAAGUAGCCCUACUUUCAAAGUUAACGAGCCGCUGACCCGAGCGCCCCGGCCUGACGGUACACGGCUUCUCUGCUCAGACAUCUCCCCUUACCGGCGUCCGAGCUCUGCCCCCCACCCACAAACCCACCUACAGGUUGAAGUGAGCUGAACGGAGGAGGAGCGGCUCGGAGACGUGCUGUUGUGUUUUACCUUUGUCGACAUGCUUCGCCGCGGUGGUCUCCGCGAAGAGAAAGAAAUAAGACGGGAAUCGAACGAUGUGGUCAAGCAAAGCAGAGAGCUCCUAUUAUAAGGUCAGUGGAUCUGUUUGUAUGAUCAACAUGGAUUAUCAUGGAGUGGAAGAUGAUCCUGAUUUUGAGAGACACACGAGGCUGAGCUCCACUGGAGGAUCAGAUGAACAGUCUUCAGUGUGGCAUUUGGCACAUCCUCGGGAUUAUUUACACUCCGAAUGAAAUGUCACCUCAUCCUGCGACCACUCAGCGUAGAGGAGCCGCCAUGAAGCUGCAACGCUUGUC